AUACGGAGGGUGCGAGCGUUAAUCGGAAUUACUGGGCGUAAAGCGUACGUAGGCGGUUGGUUAAGUUAGAUGUGAAAGCCCCGGGCUUAACCUGGGAACUGCAUUUAAAACUGGCGAACUAGAGUUGAGCAGAGGGGAGUGGAAUUUCAGGUGUAGCGGUGAAAUGCGUAGAGAUCUGAAGGAACACCAGUGGCGAAGGCGACUCCCUGGACUCGAACUGACGCUGAGGUACGAAAGCGUGGGUAGCAAACGGGAUUAGAAACCCCAGUAGUCC
rnacentral:rRNA from 1 species